rnacentral:ncRNA from 2 species
ACCUUAUCCAGAGUGACCGAGGGACUUGGCCCGGUGACGUCACAGCAACCCUUGUCCCGCCAAACUUAGUAGGCGGAUCAACACGGUGCUACCUCCAACCCCAUAGUUCCAAGCGAUUAAUCGUUUUUUAUGGGGGGAAGAUAAGAA